GACAAGAAUGGAAGGAUGUGAUCUGGGAUGGAAGAUGUGGGUUCAGUUGCUGUUGUCCAUUCUUGAGGGUAUUUUGGUCCAUUCAUCAAUAAUCUGACAUGCACUUUGGACAGAAGUGAGAUGCAAAGGACGGAAAUGCCAAAUAAGUCAUAAAAGUUAAAUCCGGUGUAAAAAAAUUUCAGUGUCAUAGAGGAAAUUAUAUUAUUUUUUAUAUCAAAUAAGGAAUUUUUUUUCUUAACCCGGGG
rnacentral:lncRNA from 1 species